rnacentral:rRNA from 1 species
GACGUAGGGCGCGAGCGUUGUCCGGAUUUAUUGGGCGUAAAGAGCUCGUAGGCGGCUUGUCGCGUCGAAUGUGAAAACCCACAGCUCAACUUCGGGCUUGCAGUCGAUACGGGCAGGCUAGAGUUCGGUAGGGGAGACUGGAAUUCCUGGUGUAGCGGUGAAAUGCGCAGAUAUCAGGAGGAACACCGAUGGCGAAGGCAGGUCUCUGGGCCGAUACUGACGCUGAGGAGCGAAAGCGUGGGGAGCGAACAGG